rnacentral:rRNA from 1 species
CGGACGGGUGAGUAAUGCUUGGGAAUCUAGCUUAUGGAGGGGGAUAACUACGGGAAACUGUAGCUAAUACCGCGUAAUAUCGAGAGAUUAAAGUGUGGGACCUUCGGGCCACAUGCCAUAGGAUGAGCCCAAGUGGGAUUAGGUAGUUGGUGAGGUAAAGGCUCACCAAGCCGACGAUCUCUAGCUGGUCUGAGAGGAUGACCAGCCACACUGGGACUGAGACACGGCCCAG